rnacentral:tRNA from 1 species
GGCCGGUUAGCUCAGCGGCAGAGCAGCGUCUUGAUAAGGCGAAGGUCACUGGUUCAAUCCCAGUACCGGCCACCA